rnacentral:rRNA from 1 species
AGUGAACGCUGGCGAUAGGCCUAACACAUGCAAGUCGAACGGCAGCACAGUAAGAGCUUGCUCUUACGGGUGGCGAGUGGCGGACGGGUGAGGAAUACAUCGGAAUCUACUUUUUCGUGGGGGAUAACGUAGGGAAACUUACGCUAAUACCGCAUACGACCUACGGGUGAAAGCAGGGGAUCUUCUGACCUUGCGCGAGUGAAUGAGCCGAUGUCGGAUUAGCUAGUUGGCGGGGUAAAGGCCCACCAAGGCGACGAUCCGUAGCUGGUCUGAGAGGAUGAUCAGCCACACUGGAACUGGGACACGGUCCAGACUCCUACGGGAGGCAGCAGUGGGGAAUAUUGGACAAUGGGCGCAAGCCUGAUCCAGCCAUACCGCGUGGGUGAAGAAGGCCUUCGGGUUGUAAAGCCCUUUUGUUGGGAAAGAAAAGCAGCAGGUUAAUACCCAGCUGUUCUGACGGUACCCAAAGAAUAAGCACCGGCUAACUUCGUG